rnacentral:lncRNA from 1 species
GUGUGUUACAAUUUAACGUUGCGUCGUUUGUUUUCUCUUAUUUUUUAGUGUAAAUUGACAUUGCGAUAAGACGUGUCACGGUACUUGUCUAUCCCAAAUUCAUGUAUUUGGUUUUGAUGUUAUAUUUGUUAUUCUCUUGGGAUUUUGUCUGAUGCUUGGUCCGUUUCUGUGUGUGUUACAUUGUAGUGUUGUGUCGUUGUUCUCCUCUUAUAUUUAUGCGUUUCCCUCAGAUUUAGUUUGUUACCCCGAUUUUGUUUUUUGUCCAUAGAUUUAUGAGUUUGAACAGCGGUAUACUACUGUUGCCUUUAUUUA